UUUAGGUCAUUACGAAUGUCUCAUUGAAUCAGUAAGCUUUUGCAUAAAUUCUACACAUCAGGCCAACCUAGAAGAAUCUGACAAAUGAUGUAUCUUAGUGGUAAGUAAGGCAAGUUUGGGCCCCUCGAAAUGUCACAGGAAUACAAAAGCUUCUUUUGGGGUCUUGCCGCUCCGAGUAAGUUCUACAGAACAGUGACAGCGACAACUGUGCUGUGGACUGAAUUGUGUCCUGCCCCAAACACCUACGUUGAAGCCUCUGUGAUGGUUUUGGAGGCGGGACCUUCGGGAGGUGAUCGGGUUUAGAUGAGGCCAUGAGAUUGGUGUCCUCCUAAGAAGACGAGGAGACCAGAGCUCUCUCUCGCUGCCAAGUGAGGCUAUAGUGAGGGGGCAGCUGUCUGCCAGCCAGGAAGAGAGUCCUUACCAGAACCCAAUGGUGCCAGAAUCUCCAUCUGGGGCUUCCAGCCUUGAGAACUCCCAGAAGAUACAUUUCUGUUGUUUAAGCCACCCGGUCUACGGUCUUUUUUAUUUUGACAGUAACCUGAGCAUCGCAGACACCGGGGAGCUUGUGAGGAAUGCUGACUCUCAGGCCGUAUCCCAAGCCUGUUGCAUCAGAAUCAGAACCUGCCUCAAGACAGAAUAAAAACCACCUGAUCCUUCCAAUCCCAGGAGACCGGUUCCCCGGUGUCAAACUCUUCAAGAGGCUCCCCAAAGUGCGGAACUGCCGACCGGUCCUUGAAAAUGAAAUCGUCGGGGUCAGCUUCCUGGGCAACGGGGCUUCAUCUUUGGGGUCUGAGGCUGCACGUUAGGAUGCGGGUCCACAGGCAGAAGACAAGACCUUCGACCGCUGGGCUGUUUUCCACUUUCUCGAAGUGUAACUGUCAAAGAACAUUUUACACAGUUUAAGUGUACCGCGUUUGGCACACGUAUGCUUUGUGAGACUAUGUGACCACGGUCAGGGUAAUUAACACAUCUGUCACCUCCCAUAGUCACCUUGUGUGUGAUGCGCACGCGUGUGUGUGUGUGUGUGUGUGUGCGGUGAGAACACGGAAGGUCUACUCUCUCGGCAAAUUCAAUGGUACACAACACAGCGUCAUUCACUAUGGUCCCCACGCUCCCCGGCAGACCCCCGCGGCUCACUCAUCUUGCAACAGAAAGCUUGUAUCUCCAGCAAUCCUUUCUUACUGCAGUAAAAACUAUCUCAGCCAACGUCACCCUAAAAUCACACAUCCCUAUGUCAAACAGAACAAACACCAACAGGAACUUGAAAGAAGUGAAAACAGCACCUAAGUGAAACCGCCUCUCUCUUGACACGUUCAAGCCCGUUCAUGCAAAUUUCCAGAUGUAACGGCACCGAUGGACCACCAGACUCUCCUUUUCUGGGGGUUUUAUCAGUUCCAAGUUCCAUGACUCCCUUUCGGGGGUCCGGGGGAAACAGCAUACACUUUCACAAGUGCCUAUACUGUUAACUUUCAUUACUGGAUCUCUGUCUACAACCAAGUAAGGUCAUGCUCGGUUUGGGUUUGUUUUUUUAGCAGGCUUCAUUCUUUUUGUUUCAGUUUUACUGAGCUCUAGUUGACAAAUGGCCUAUGGAAAAGUUUAACGUGCACAGCAGAAUUACUAGACCUACGAUAUGCUGUGAAAUGAUGACCACAGAAAGAAUCAUCAAUUACAGGCCCCAACUGGCCUUUCAUCUCCUACAAGAAAUCCACAACCCUUGCAACUCAGCCGAUGAGAAACUGUCAUUAUCCUAAACCCUUGCUUCUCCAGAGGGGACUUUUGUUCAAAACAACCCCUCCCAACUUCCUCCUCCUUCUCCAUAAAAUAAUGUUCCUAUUCUUUGCUUCUCGG